UACGGGGGGGGUAAGCGUUGUUCGGAAUUACUGGGCGUAAAGGGCUCGUAGGCGGCCAACUAAGUCAGACGUGAAAUCCCUCAGCUUAACUGGGGAACUGCGUCUGAUACUGGAUGGCUUGGAUUCGGGAGAGGAAUGCGGAAUUCCAGGUGUAGCGGUGAAAUGCGUAGAUAUCUGGAGGAACACCGGUGGCGAAGGCGGCUCUCUGGGACGGUACUGACGCUGAGACGCGAAAGCGUGGGGAGCAAACAGG
rnacentral:rRNA from 1 species